rnacentral:lncRNA from 1 species
CCGAUAUAAUUCAGGAGUGUCAUGCCUAUAACAAAGCAUUCAUUCACAAUUUAAAUAAGUUGGCAUACUAUCCACUCUUUACAUUAAUUUCCCAUGGGGCUUUUAGCUUCUCCAAAUCCUUGGGUGGUUGCAAGAUAGAACAGAUGUAACAGACUCACCAAUCAAUCAUCUUUUGAUAGACUAUCAAUCCAGAGGUUUUUUUAUAAGUUUUGCAAAAUAAAUGAGUUCCUCGAAUGAUUCUCUGAAUCGCUCAAUGUGUAUGAAAUCCUUACCAAAGGCAUUAUGCGAUUGCCUUUAAACCUUACCACAAGGUUGAGAGUGGAGUUUUAGGCAGGUAUAAAGGUGGGCGUACUUACGACACUUGUAUUGCUGAGUCAAAACCCGGACCAUGAGGAGAUACAAAUCAUACACCUUGAUUGAGAUGUGCAAGUGUGUGGAGUAUAAGGAAUUGGUGGAAAUCCUAAUUCUAAAUUUUUUUGGUCACUGCAUUGCAUCAUGACUCUCUUUUAUUUGGAGGAUAAGAGAGAGAGGAAUAGGAAAACAUAUGGGCUCUAUCAAUUAAUAAUUUUUUUUCAUGACGGGGACUUUUGAUUUUUUCUUUCUUUCCUGUCUAUGCCUUUUUGGCUUUUUCCCUUUGGAUAUUUUUUUCAACUAUAGCCCAUAUGUCUCGAUGAAUGGAAUCAGAGAAAUUUAAAGAGAUGUCAUGAGGACAAAAAGUAAGGAGUGAAUUUGGGGAUGUGCAAAUCUCAGGAUGAGAGUUUGGCAUUUUUAUUUGGUGGAAAGCUAAGGCACAACUCUGAGGAUAAGAGUUGGCAGAAAUUUUUGGUGGAUGGAAGGGUGCAUGUUGUGCGCGACUUCUCAGUGUAAGAGUCGGCUUUAUUUGGUGGGUGUAAGUGAAUCUCAAUCUUGGGUGCAUGACCAUAAUCUCACUCUAGGAUCUCAAAGAUUUGACCCGACUCAAAGUUCCGCAAGCCGCAUAUGACUAAAGGUUUUAAGAACUGAGUAACAAGUCAUCUGGCAAUAAUAACCAUAUCAAGUUCAUCAUAUGCUCUUCCUUGCUAUCAUCAUCAUCACGAACCAUUGUUCAUUAAUGGAUGCUACGUUUGCCGCUGCUCUGUCAAGUUCUCACUAUCCGGGAGAGACGACGAUUCGAAUCGAUUCCUAUCCAGCUAGAGGGUUAUUCCUAGCACUCACCCAAGCUUCCCCCGUCGGAGAGCCAGUGGGUCACCUUUGGUACGACUCAGGAAUCGCGGCUCCGAUCAGCGCCGCACUCCCAGGGCUACCACUCUGCCAUGGAGGUCAGGACUUUUAACUCACCUGCCUUUGGUCUUACGCCAAUGGUCCCCCGCACACCGCACUUCCUCCGGUAGUGCGCACUUUAUACUUGCCGGUCUUCCGGCCUGAGUCAUACUACUAGGCUUCGCGGUCGGAACGAGUUAUCCGGCCAACUAAGUGUUAGGCAUGCGUUCAACAUGACAAGAGGACGUACAACGAUCGGUCCUUAGCUGCCACAGACGGUGUUACUACAACCUUGCAAAACUCCACCCGGCUUAAGUCAUUUUAAUCAGGUUCU